rnacentral:tRNA from 1 species
GGGGCUGUGACUCAGAGGGAGAGAGCUCGCCUACCAUGCCUGAGGCACUGGGUUCAAUCCCCAGCACCACA